CCUCUCUAUCUCUCAGUGUCUUCUCUCCAGCAACACUGAGCUCCCAGCCAAACUUCAGCCAUGAAGAUUCUCUACCUGCUCUUUGCUCUCUUUUUCCUGGUGCUCCAAAGCUCUCCAGGAUUCACCCAGAUCAUCAAUAGCCCCUUUGAUUGUAGACGUGCUGGGGGAUUCUGCCGCCUUUACUGUUUCGGCAAUUUCAGAUCAAUUGGAAGGUGUGAUGCUCCGCAGAGUUGCUGUCGCACUAGAUGGUAAACAGAGUGAGUGAUGGCAGCAGAGAUUGUCAAUGCAGGAUCUCUGGGAAUCUGAUAGACAACGCCUUGCUUAAGAACCCUUGAAUGCUUUUCAUCUGGGCUGCAAGAAUCUCGCAAGCUGGAAAAAAUCCACAAGGGAGCCCUUGUGUCACCCCUAAUAGCUUGUUCUUCUCUUUUUAAUAA